UGGAACCACGGUCAACCAUGGUUUGUGGCAAUGGUUAUGAACCAUAGUUAACCUUGGUCAACCAUGGUUUAUAACCACUGCCACAAAUCAUGGUUAACCAUU
rnacentral:sRNA from 1 species